GCCAUUAUUUAUUUAUUUUAAUUUUGGAUAAAUAUAGCCGCCGUAAAGGAGAAUAAUCUCCUUGAACAAAAUAUUAGCUGAGGUGGGCUAUUUAAAUUGAAAUUAGUAUUUAAAUAUAUGGCGGUAAUUUCUUAAUUAUUUUAUAAAAAUAAGUUUUAUUUAAAUUUUAAAAUCCAUUUCCACAUUAAUUAUAAUUUCUAAUUUAUUCAAUGUUAAUUUUAUUAAAUUGUUUAAUUGUUAUUUAACAAAAUAAUUUUGCCUAAAUAUUCAUAAAUAUAUUUUAUUAAAUAUAACUUAUUCUUAUCUUUACACG
rnacentral:rRNA from 1 species